rnacentral:lncRNA from 1 species
UGCUCCGUUAACGUUUUUUACUAAAGCACCCACACAAGUUUCUGUGCAACAUAAAAACAGAGUAGGCCCUGGGGCUCCUGCCUCCUCUCUAAGGGAGGGAGGCCAGAACCACUGACUGAUCCAGGCCCACCUGUCCCCCAUGCAAAGGCCAACCCCAUGAUCCCAGGAAACAACACAGCACCCCUUCUGGUCCCCUCCUGGGGGCGCUCCUCAGUAGGUGGCUUGCCAAAGCUUGCCCCCUACAAUAUUGAAUGAAAAAGGUUUCCCCUCCCCUGGAAGCAUGAGGGGUCUCCAGAUCUGAGAAUUCCCCCCUGGAAGAGACAUUGCCCCCUAGUUAAACCUCCCACCUUUCCAGGCCCUAGGGGACUCGAGGGGAGUGGGGAAACUGAGGCACAGAGAGGUGGAGUGACCUAGCUCAGGCCACUCCGCGAGGCAGUGCAGGGGCUGGCCCAACCCUAACAGUGAGGAGGUUUGGGCUGGGAAAAGUAGGACAGGAAGAAGGGUUGACCCCAGAGAGGGCCGUAAGAGGGGCUUGCCCAAACGCCCCUCAAAGUGAGUUCUGAAACUUCUAGGUGCGCUGGCUAUUAAGACUCAGAAAACAGCUCACAGUCUCAGUCUUGGGGACACCCCUAGAGCAGCUGUCAGCCAGGUUAUAGGUCAGUCCUCUGGCAGGCAGCCUUCCAUACCAGAAGGGCAUGGAGGGCCUUUGUCCGUUAGUGUCAGCCUUGAGUGAGCCAUGACAUGGGCUGCCCAAUGUCCACUGUGAUGUUGGUGAAGAGUGGUUGCCGAGAUACUUCCAAGACGCG